AUGAUGCAUCGAGUGAAUGAGAAUGUAUCACUGUGGUGGACUUUUGGUGGAGGAACCAAACUAAGUGUUGGAACUGACGCUCAGCCAACUCUAACAGUCCUGCCGCCCUCCAGAGAUGAGUUGGAGCAGGGUAAAGCUACAGUCAUGUGUGUGGGCAGUAAAGGAUUUCCCUCUGACUGGCAGCUGAGCUGGAAGGUGGAUUGUAGCAGCAGGAACUCAGGUGUGAAUGUGAGUCCCAGUGUGCUGCAGAAGGAUGGGCUGUACAGCUGGAGCAGCAGUCUGACCCUCACUGACAGUGAGUGGAGCAGAGCAAAAACCAUCAGCUGUGAGGCCACUCAGAGAUCCCAGAAUCCAGUCACCAAGAUCCUGAACACACAAGAGUGUGAUUUAGAGUGAAACUACGGAAACCACCAAUGUAGUCAUUGAUAUUCACAUAUUUACAGUCUCACACUGUCAUUAAUCAGUAAAUUGGUCAACAAUUAAUCUUUCCUCUCUUAGCAUGCAGCUCAAACCUUGCUUUAUUUUUUGUGAUGCACUGCAGACCUUUGCUGAAUUGUUGAUUGUUUUAUUCUUGUUGCCAAAUAAAAGCAU